GACGAACGCUGGCGGCGUGCUUAACACAUGCAAGUCGAACGGAAAGGCCCUGCUUUUGUGGGGUGCUCGAGUGGCGAACGGGUGAGUAACACGUGAGUAACCUGCCCUUGACUUUGGGAUAACUUCAGGAAACUGGGGCUAAUACCGGAUAGGAGCUCCUGCUGCAUGGUGGGGGUUGGAAAGUUUCGGCGGUUGGGGAUGGACUCGCGGCUUAUCAGCUUGUUGGUGGGGUAGUGGCUUACCAAGGCUUUGACGGGUAGCCGGCCUGAGAGGGUGACCGGCCACAUUGGGACUGAGAUACGGCCCAGACUCCUACGGGAGGCAGCAGUGAGGAAUAUUGCACAAUGGGCGGAAGCCUGAUGCAGCAACGCCGCGUGCGGGAUGACGGCCUCCGGGUUGUAAACCGCUUUCGCCUGUGACGAAGCGUGAGUGACGGUAAUGGGUAAAGAAGCACCGGCUAACUACGUG
rnacentral:rRNA from 1 species